rnacentral:rRNA from 1 species
GGCCAUGGCCUAAAUACCCUAAAGGCACUAGAUCCUGUCUGAUCUUGGAAGCUCAGCAGGGUCAACCCUGGUUGGUACUUGGAUGGAAGAAUGCUAGCCAAUGCCAGGUGACGUAGGCU